UUAAAAAGCUCGUAGUUGGAUUUCUGGUGUGAUGCGACUGACCGGCAAUGCUUACAUUGUCUGUGUCGGUCUGCAUCUGCCAUCCUUCCAGAAAACCUUUCUACCCUUCACUGGGCCGGACUGGAGAUCUGGAACUUUUACUUUGAAAAAAUUAGAGUGUUCAAAGCAGGCUAUCGCCAUUGAAUACAUUAGCAUGGAAUAAUAAUUUAGGACUUCGGUUCUAUUUUGUUGGUUUCUAGGACUUAAGUAAUGAUUGAUAGGGAUAGUUGGGGGUGCUAGUAUUUAUCGGCCAGAGGUGAAAUUCUUGGAUUCGAUAAAGACUAACUUAUGCGAAAGCAUUCACCAAGGAUGUCUUCUUUAAUCAAGAACGAAAGUUGGGGGAUCGAAGACGAUCAGAUACCGUCGUAGUCUCAACCAUAAACUAUACCGACUAAGGAUGAGUGAACGUUGCAUCUUCGACAUCAUUCGCACUUUAUGAGAAAUCAAAGUCUUUGGGUUCCGGGGGGAGUAUGGUCGCAAGGCUGAAACUUAAAGGAAUUGACGGAAGGCACCACCAAGAGUGGAGCCUGCGGCUUAAUUUGACUCAACACGGGAAAACUUACCANGUCCAGACAUANUGAGGAUUGACAGAUUGAAAAUCUUC
rnacentral:rRNA from 1 species